rnacentral:piRNA from 1 species
UGUGCCCAAAGCAGAUGUUGG